CGCCACCUGCGGUGUGCGGGUGACCCUCUAAUCCCUUAGAACCUAAAAUUUAGAUAGGGGAUCAUUUUGCAGGCACUGGUGUGCAGAUCUGGGACUUUUUGCCAGGAAGCCUAAAGGUUCCGCAGUGGUCUCCACUUGAACCUUCUGGUUCAAGGUAAGUUGGGUUGCGCGGCAUUAGCGGGUGGUAG
rnacentral:other from 1 species